AUUCUGAGACACGAAUCCAGACCCUACGGGGUGCAGCAGGCGCGAAAACUUGGCAAUGCGAGCAAUCGUGACCAGGGAACUCCAAGUGGCUGGGGUAAUACCCAGUUUUUUUCUUGACUCUUCAAAGGUCUUGGAAUAAGGGGUGGGUAAGGACGGUGCCAGCCGCCGCGGGUAAUACCGGCGCCUCAAGUGGUAGUCGCUUUUAUUGGGCCUAAAACGUCCGUAGCCGGUCUGGUGCAUUCGUGGGUAAAUCAACCCGCUCAACGGGUUGAAUUCUGCGAGCACGGCCAGACUUGGGACCAGGAGAGGUGUGGGGUACUCUCAGGGUAGGGGUAAAAUCCUGUCAUCCUGAGAGGACCACCUGUUGCGAAGGCGCCACACUAGAACGGAUUCGACGGUCAGGGACGAAACCUAGGGGCACGAACCGGAUUAGAUACCCGGGUAGUCCUAGGUGUAAACGCUGUGGACUUGAUGUUGGGGGUGCUCCGAGCACUCUCAGUGUCGAAGCGAAGGUGAUAAGUCCACUGCCUGGGGAGUACGGUCGCAAGGCUGAAACUUAAAGGAAUUGGCGGGGGAGCACUGCAACCUGAGGAUUGUGCGGUUUAAUUGGACUCAACGCCGGGA
rnacentral:rRNA from 1 species